CCCCCCCCCCCUGUCGAGGAUCCCUGGAAUUCUUCAGGGGUAAAAGGUUUUGAGCUUGAAAUUCUUCAGGGGUAAAGGCUUUUGAGCUUGGAAUUCUUUAGGGGUGAAGGGUUUUGAGCUUGGAAUUCUUCAAGGGUAAAAGGUUUUGAGCUUGGAAUUCUUCAGGAGUAAAGGGUUUUGAGCUUGGAAUUUUGGAAUUCUUCAGGGGUGAAAGGUUUUGAGCUUGGAAUUCUUCAGAGGUAAAGAGUUUUGAGCUUGGAAUUUUGGAAUUCUUCAGGAGUAAACAGUUUUGAGCUUGGAAUUCUUCAGGGGUAUGACAAUGAAAAACAUGUAUCCUCAACAGGGGGGUACGGAUAUUAAAUGGAAUAGCCCAUUUUGAACAUACUAUAGAUGACUUUCUUUAUUUAUAGUCUAUAUAUAUAUAUACAUAUAUAUAUCGACGGUAUCGUUUCGGCCUUUAGGAUACCUAGUGUACUUCACUAGGCUAGUGAGAGGUAUUCUGUACUUUUGCACUCGCCAGUUAUCAUGAAUGUGUCUUUGAUAAUAAGAUCUAAGUUUGAUUUCAUAUACAACAUUUAAUGGCAUGUGAUUGACUAAUUUGACUGAGUUUCACAAAGAAACACAUUGGAGAAGAUAGCCAGAAGG